rnacentral:rRNA from 1 species
GACGAACGCUGGCGGCGUGCCUAAUACAUGCAAGUUGAGCGAUGAAGAUUGGUGCUUGCACCAAUUUGAAGAGCAGCGAACGGGUGAGUAACGCGUGGGGAAUCUGCCUUUGAGCGGGGGACAACAUUUGGAAACGAAUGCUAAUACCGCAUAACAACUUUAAACAUAAGUUUUAAGUUUGAAAGAUGCAAUUGCAUCACUCAAAGAUGAUCCCGCGUUGUAUUAGCUAGUUGGUGGGGUAAAGGCUCACCAAGGCGAUGAUACAUAGCCGACCUGAGAGGGUUAUCGGCCACAUUGGGACUGAGACACGGCCCAAACUCCUACGGGAGGCAGCAGUAGGGAAUCUUCGGCAAUGGACGAAAGUCUGACCGAGCAACGCCGCGUGAGUGAAGAAGGUUUUCGGAUCGUAAAACUCUGUUGGUAGAGAAGAACGUUGGUGAGAGUGGAAAGCUCAUCAAGUGACGGUAACUACCCAGAAAGGGACGGCUAACUACGUG